rnacentral:rRNA from 1 species
GAUGAACGCUGGCGGCGUGCCUAAUACAUGCAAGUCGAACGCUGAAGCGAGGAGCUUGCUCUUCUUGGAUGAGGUGCGAACGGGUGAGUAACGCGUAGGUAACCUGCCUGGUAGAGGGGGAGAACUCAUGGAAACGAUAGCUAAUACCGCAUAACAAUGGCUGACACAUGUUUCUUAUUUGAAAGGGGCAAUUGCUACAACACAAGAUGGACUUGCGUUGGAUUAGCUAGUAGGUGAGGUAAUGGAUCGCCUAGGCUAAGGUACAGUGCCGACCUGGGAGGGUUGUCGGGCACGCCUGGACUGAAGCACGGCCCAACCUCCCACGGGAGGCGGCCGUAAGGAAUCUUCGGCAAUGGGGGGAAGCCUGGCCGAGCAACGGCGCGAGGGUGAAGAAGGUUUUCUGAUCGUGAAACGCUGUUGAAUGUCGAGAACAAGUGUGAGAGGGGAAGGGUCACACUGUGACGGUAGCUUAGCAGAAAGCCACGGCUAACUACGUG